UUAAUUGUCCGCCCAAUUAAUACAAAAAAAUAACUGAAACCCAAAAAUUAGGGUAUUGAAAAGUCUCAUUUCCUUCUUCUUUUUUCUCUCGAUCUAUCUCACUCUCAUUCUUCGUUCUCCCUUCUUCCUCUCUUCUUUCUCUACACCUCUCACAAAAUCUGAUUUCGUUUAUCCGACCCUCUCACCAACCCUAGUACGACAUCGUCAGAUCUGGAAGUGAUGACAAUGAAGGAAUCUCUAGUGAAGUUACGCCGCCGAUAAGCCUCCAAGGAAGAAACGUCAUCACUGACACACUCCUCAACAGAUCUAAGAGCUCAUAUCGUAAUCUCCUCUCUUUCUUUUUGAUCGAGUUAAUCCCUAUUCAGAUUUGAGUGUUUUUUUUGGGUUGGGGAUUUCAGGUUGAGUGGUUGAGAUGGAGGGUUCGUGUUUUCAUUCCAAAUUCGGUGAAGCUCUUCUCAGGUGGUGUGAGUGAAUCUGGGACCUUUUCUCUCUUCUUUUGAUUUCCCUUUUCUCUUACUCUCUCGUCUUCUCCUCCUUUUUGUUGUUGUUUGUUUGUUGGAUGUUCGGUUAUUGAAGUGGAUUCGCGAUAAGUUGAAAAGAUUCUUUCAAAAAUACUCGAUUCUACUAAAAGCAGACUCUGCUAUGAACGAGAUCUACUUGCCAUUGUUGAAGCUGGUGAAUAGGUUUGUGCUUGAUAAUAAAUUUUCAAUAAUCUGAUUUGAUCUUGUUUGAUUAAGGAAAAUUUCAUAUACAUGCUCCUCUACCUCCACAAGGGGUUCACCUCUUAGCGAAUUGAACUUCUUAACUUCUAUCCUCAUUGUCCGUAUGUACAAGAAAAGUGAAAACAAUUGUUUAUGACUUGAUGAUAUAAGAAGUUUCAAAGAUUGGAGGUCCGAGAGUGAAGAGUUCAAGUUUAAAUACAAGAUUUGUAGCUUCUGCUCAGUGCCAGCAGCAAAGGGAUUGUUUUCUUUUUUCUAAGAGACUCAGAUGUAUAAACCCUUAUUCAAGCGAGACUUUUGUAUCAUUGUUUCAUAUAAACAUAUUAUAAUAAAAGUAAGACAAUUUUCUCUUUUA